GUGCUCGCUUUGGCAGCACAUAUACUAAAAUUGGAACGAUACAGAAAAGACUAGCAUGGCCCCUGCGCAAGGAAAACUGAACUGUAAAGAGAAAUAUAACUGAAAAAA